rnacentral:rRNA from 1 species
GACGAACGCUGGCGGCGUGCUUAACACAUGCAAGUUGAACGGAAAGGCCUGCUUUCCCUUGUGGAUUGCGGGUACUCGAGUGGCGAACGGGUGAGUAACACGUGAGUGAUCUGCCCCCAACUUGGGUAUAAGCCUGGGAAACUGGGUCUAAUUCCCGAUAGGACUGCAGGGUGGUGCCUGUGGUGGAAAACGAUUUUCUAGUGGUUGGGGAUGAGCUCGCGGCCUAUCAGCUUGUUGGUGGGGUAAUGGCCUACCAAGGCGGCGACGGGUAGCCGGCCUGGGAGGGUGGACGGCCACAUUGGGACUGAGAUACGGCCCAGACUCCUACGGGAGGCAGCAGUGGGGAAUAUUGCACAAUGGGCGGAAGCCUGAUGCAGCGACGCCGCGUGGGGGAUGACGGCCUUCGGGUUGUAAACUCCUUUCGACCGCGAGGAAGCCACCUGGUUGGAAGGGUGGUGACGGUAGUGGUAGAAGAAGCACCGGCUAACUACGUG